rnacentral:tRNA from 3 species
GCCCCCAUCGUCUAGCGGCCUAGGACGUCGCCCUUUCACGGCGGUAGCACGGGUUCGAAUCCCGUUGGGGGUGC